GAUGAACGCUGGCGGCGUGCCUAAUACAUGCGAGUCGAGCGAACAGACGAGGAGCUUGCUCCUCUGACGUUAGCGGCGGACGGGUGAGUAACACGUGGAUAACCUACCUAUAAGACUGGGAUAACUUCGGGAAACCGGAGCUAAUACCGGAUAAUAUAUUGAACCGCAUGGUUCAAUAGUGAAAGACGGUUUUGCUGUCACUUAUAGAUGGAUCCGCGCCGCAUUAGCUAGUUGGUAAGGUAACGGCUUACCAAGGCAACGAUGCGUAGCCGACCUGAGAGGGUGAUCGGCCACACUGGAAUUGAGACACGGUCCAGACUCCUACGGGAGGCAGCAGUAGGGAAUCUUCCGCAAUGGGCGAAAGCCUGACGGAGCAACGCCGCGUGAGUGAUGAAGGUCUUCGGAUCGUAAAACUCUGUUAUUAGGGAAGAACAAAUGUGUAAGUAACUAUGCACGUCUUGACGGUACCUAAUCAGAAAGCCACGGCUAACUACGUG
rnacentral:rRNA from 1 species